GAACGCACAUUGCGCCCUCUGGUAUUCCGGAGGGCAUGCCUGUCCGAGCGUCAUUGCUGCCCUCAAGCACGGCUUGUGUGUUGGGCCCCGUCCUCCUUCCGGGGGACGGGUCCGAAAGGCAGCGGCGGCACCGCGUCCGGUCCUCAAGCGUAUGGGGCUUUGUCACUCGCUUUGUAGGCCUGGCCGGCGCUUGCCGAUCAACCAAACUUUUUAUCAGGUUGACCUCGGAUCAGGUAGGGAUACCCGCUGAACUUAAG
rnacentral:misc_RNA from 1 species